UGUAAAGAUGGGGUUUCACCAUGUUGAACACACAUGGCUGGGAGCAGUGGCUCACGCCUGUAACCCCAGCACUUUAGGAGGUCAAGGUGAGAGGAUCAUUUGAGCUGGGGAGGUUGAGGCUGCAGAGAGCUGUGACCAUGCCACUGCACUCCAGGCUCGGUGACAGAGUGAGUGAGACCUUGUCUCACACACACACACACACACGUGCAGGUACCUCAUUCUCUCAGGAGCUGAACUCAGUGCUGGCACAGGGCACCACAUAAUCCUAACAUCUUCUUUUGUGACUAACAUUUCUGCACAUCUCUCACCUUGUGUCUUCAAAACAAAGGCAACGAAAUCCGAACACUGUAAAGGUGUGUGGGUUGCCUCACAACCAAUGUUGCUGAUGAACUCUGCUUUAGAAUACAGGGAAGAUUUCAGUGGAGAAUUGUUUCAGUAAAAGAAAAGACAAAUGAAUUAAUUUGUCAAACCCUUUUAUAUAAGCACAACAUAUCUUUCACGAGAAGGGCUGAGUGUUCGUUUUCUUCCUUCCCUUCCUGUUUCAAACACGACUAUGGAAGUAUUCGUCGACUACCAGAGCAUUCUUAACUGUUGUGCAUAGUAGUUGAGGAAUAUUUUCAAUAUCGAAUAAUUUGUAUUAUGGAGCCAGGCAUGCUGGCACAUGCCUGUAAUCCCAGCUACGGCUCAUGGCUCUGGAAUGUGUCUAGACUUGCUGGCUCCUUGCUCUCCCAGGAUCAAUUGUAUCUUGAGUUAAAAGAACCUACUCUCCACUAUCUCAAGUAGCAGAAAAUGUUCCUUAUAAAUGCUAAACCAUCACAGCUGUAGAUCAUGUGCCUGCCCUUUUGACCUCCACAUUCUCACCACCUGUUUCUUUGUUGGAUUACCAAUAAAUACCACGGGGUCCCAGAGCUCAGGGCUUUUGCAGCCUCCACAAUCGCGAUGGCCCCCUGGUCCCACCUUUCUCUCUCAAACUCUUUUUCUCAAUCCUUUGACUUUGCCGGACUUUGUCACCCCUACGACCUGGUGUUGGGUCUGAUCACCCCAACAAGAGGAGGAGUCAGAAAUAGAAAAGGCAGGAGCAAAAAGGCAGGAG
rnacentral:lncRNA from 1 species